AGCUCCAAUAGCGUAUAUUAAUGUUGUUGCAGUUAAAAAGCUCGUAGUUGGAUUUCUGACAGGAGCGACCGGUCUUGAGUCUCAGGCUCUUGUACUUAGUGUCCGUCUCUAGUCAUCCUUAUGGAGAGCUUGUGUGCCAUUAAGUUGGUGUGCAAGGGAUCCAUAUCGUUUACUGUGAAAAAAUUAGAGUGUUUAAAGCAGGCAAUCGCUGUGAAUACAUUAGCAUGGAAUAAUAAGAUAGGACUUUGGUACUAUUUUGUUGGUUUGCAUACCAAGGUAAUGAUUAAGAGGGACAGUUGGGGGUAUUCGUAUUUAAUUGUCAGAGGUGAAAUUCUUGGAUUUAUGAAAGACGAACUACUGCGAAAGCAUUUACCAAGGAUGUUUUCAUUAAUCAAGAACG
rnacentral:rRNA from 1 species